rfam:Bacteroidetes bacterium GWF2_43_11 gwf2_scaffold_1510, whole genome shotgun sequence.
CACCCUGUGGACAGAUUUGAUUGAUUGCAACCACGUAAAAAGAAUGCUAAACCAGAAACU